rnacentral:misc_RNA from 1 species
UAUCCAGAGAUGAGUUGGUAAAGCUGAUCCCCACGAAAUGACUGACCAACUAUGAGAAACUUCACAACAAUUCCCAUCCUGUACAGGCCACAGAACCGUCGUUCCAUAAAUAAUCUGAUGGAACUAUUAAAACAGUGGUCAAAGUUCCAAGAAGCUCUUCCGAAUCUUUAUCAGCAGUUUUUCACACUAUGAUGAUCUCUCCUGUCUCAGAAAAGAGAGACAAGAUUCAUAUGCAUGCAUUUAUGACAAAUGGAACACCUGUUUAACUGAUAAAAUCAAUGGACAUUUCAUUUGUGAUGUCCCUGAAUUGGGAAUGUGUGAUAAAGGCUGCAACUGCAUUCAUGAAAUUGAAAAAUAUGAUAAGUGCCGCCACAAAAGACAAAUAGUGCCAAACAGAUUCUCUUCAUGUAAAGCUUACAAACCACGAAGAAAUUCUUCUCCAGAUUCUAGUCCAUGAAUCGGCAUCAACAAAGAAAUAUAACACCGUAAUCCUUUGCCAAUUUAUGAACUGGCAUUGGAAAUUUUAAGGAAAGAAAGAGAAGGAAAAUAAGAAGAAAAUUACUCCACCUCCUGUACUUCCUUUAGUCUCUCCUUGCAUGAUGUUCUCUCAAGAAGACUUUGAAGAAAAUUUUCUUCCAUUACGCCAUACUAUUGAUCCCAUCUAGAGAUUGGCUUCUCGUCCUUUUAUCCAGUUAUCCACUAUUGAUUUAGAAGGCCAGUCAAAGCCUCUAUCCCAAGCAGAAGAACUGCUGAAUUGGCAAACUUUAAAUGCCAAUGCUCAAAACAAUUUCCUUGAGAAGAUUGACUCAAAGAUUGACUUGGUUGUUAGUCAAACUCAGUUAACAGACACCAAGAUUGAUACUCUGUCAACUCAAGUUCAUCAAUUGUAUGUGAACCUCCAAUCUCAAAUCAAUCAGCUUGAUAAAGACCUCAUAGCCAUAAUUCAUCAAAAAAGAUUCGAACAAGACUUCAUACAAAAAAAGUCAGAAAUCAAAAGAUUGAAAUCUCAGAUUGCUCAAAUAGAAGCAGACCUAGCCUAUGACAAACAAACCCAUACACCUGUUGAUAAUAUGUUUUCAUCCUACAGACUAUCUCCCUAACAGUCUAAAUCAUCCAUGACUUUUGGACCCUCUAUUUUUAAUACACCCCCUAAACUAUCCGAGAUAACUUCCACACCUAAAUAACCAUCUUUUAAUCCUUUUCAGUCACAAUUACAACCAUCAAAAAGCAUUUCUUUAUCUGAAUUAAUGGAGGAAGAAAAGUCUUUGCCAAGAGACCACAAAAAUAAAAAACCUAUGUAUCCUCAAGACCCACCUCCUCAAAUGACCAUCCAAAUACCAUAAUCUGAGAUAUAAGAAUCUUUUGAAUCUUCAAAGGAAGAAUAUUCUGAUUCUGACCCUGAAGUAAACUUGACAAACAUUACCAAUCUUCUCAUGGCUACUUCCACUGGGUCUAAUGCAAAUGAAAUCCCUUAAGAAAUUAUGGAAGAAGAAACAUAUCCUGGCCAAACUUCACAAGCAAGAUCUUACACUCGUCCAACUGGUGGACCUUAGUUUACACUUGAUGAUGUUCCUUCAUCAAAAUGGAGAGCAAGGAUGCUUGAAUUUGGAGCCUAGAUUGAUCUACAGCUAACCAAGCCUGAUGCUCAAUUAUCGAUAAUUUUUCGAGAAUUUGCUACUCGAAUGACUGGAUCACUCCGAGAUUGGUUUUCUUUCUUGGGACAAUACCGACAGCUUCAAUUUUACCCAAUGCUAGACACUCGAACUUUCUCAAAAACUAUCCAUUCAGAGUUCUUUGGUAACAUAGACCUGGCAGAAAAAUAGAAGGGGCAAGAUUUUUUUGAUAUGAAGUGUUGUUCUUUGAAAAGGAAAGAUCUUGAGUUCCACUAUCAGCGCAUGUCCCAGCUAUUUUAUAGGCUCAAUGGACUGGAUGAUAUUAAUCUCAAACGCAUGUAUAUUGCCUCUCAACCCGAUCAAAUAUAGUCUGAUUGGUAUCGAACAAUUCAAGCAACUGCCAGGGAAUCAACACAGAUCUCUAUUACAGAAAUUCACUAGAUGACCCUAUGACAAACUAUGUAAGCAUAGAAAGUUGUUCAAAGAAAUCAUAAACAAGACCAACUCUUUGCAAAAAGCCUACAACA